AUGCCACUGGAUGAUCUCCAACCACUCCGGGUGCGAGACAUGGUCUUCUCAAACACAAUUCCACAUGAAACAAUCUCCACUAGUCUAGAACGCAUCGUGGAAUCAGUAAGGUGUUCUUCUGGUGUCAUCUUCAGCACAUUCUAUGACCUCGAAGAUGCUGAGCUCCAAAAGGUCAGUGAUAGCAUGGGUGUCCCAGUGUACGCGAUUGGUCCGCUUCACAAGAUAUCUUCAGGUACCCAGAGCAGCCUGCUAGCUCCUGAUCGAACUUGUUUGGACUGGCUGGACAAGCAGGAGGAAGAGUCUGUUUUGUUCGUGAGCUUUGGGAGCCUGGCGUCGAUGGACCAGGAAGAGCUAAUGGAGACUGCAUUGGGCUUAGCCAAUAGCCGCAUUCCAUUUCUUUGGGUGAUCAGGCAUGACUUGCUUCAUGAUUCGGAGAAGGUAGGCCUACCUGAUGGCUUUGAGGUAGAGACACGAGGUAGGGGAAUGGUGGUGAGCUGGGCCCCACAACAAGAAGUUCUUGGGCACCAGGCGGUUGGUGGAUUUUGGACCCAUAAUGGCUGGAACUCGACAUUGGAGAGCAUAAGUGAGGGUGUUCCAAUGCUAUGUAGACCCCAUUUCGCCGACUAG
rnacentral:rRNA from 1 species